GCUGUGGGCAGAGCCGGGGAAGUUUCCGAGGUGCUGCCUAUCCUCUUUCAUGUGUCCGCUUCAUAGAGUCGCAGAGUUGGAAGGGACCUUAAAGCCCAUGCAGUUCCAACCCCUAACAUGGGCUGGUUACCACUCACCUGCUCAGGCUGCCCAGGGUCCAGUCAGCCUGGCCUUGAGCACCUCUAGAGAUGGGGCACCCGCAGCUUGGUCCAGAGCACAAGCCUAAUGGACAGUGGCUCAGGAAAUUGGGAUUGUUUGAUCUGGAGAAGGGGAGACGCAGGGGACGCUUUAUCACCCUCUAAAACUCCCUGACAGGAGGUUGCAGCAAGGGUCAGACGGUGCUGUGGUCCCAAGGUCGUGCAAGGAGCCUGCAGUACAGUCAGCAGCUCAACCCGUAUCUGGAGGUCCAAACGUGGAUGUCUAAAGCCACAUCUACCUGCUUAAUCCUGCGAUUUAAAGAGCUAAAAGUCAUCAUGGGAGCACAGCUUCUUUCAUUUGCAACUGCUCACAGUACUGGACAUCCAGAGUCCUGCUAAGGACGAUGCAGUUUAUCAAACCAGCUUUGCACGGUAACCUAAAAUUGUGGCCAUUUUGCUGGGAAACACAGACCUGUAAAAUGCAGUGAUUCAGCAUCUGCAUCUUAAGCUGCUGAAUUUCACUCCUGGAUGUCUAAGAGCUGGCAGCAGGAGUGAUCAGACGCCUAAGGCUAUUUCAACAUGGGCAUUUGAAAAUUAAGUCAGUGAAAUUUACUGUUCAUUAUUCCUCUGGAAAAUUCAGGCUUAAAUUGAAAGCCUUUUCAAUAGUGCUGAGUUCCUCGAAACUAUCAUUGCUUUUCAAAGGAGCUCAAUUGCUUUAGAAUAACUACAUUUUAUCUAUGGUCUUAGCAGCCCAACUUUAUGGACUGACAGUUUUAUUGCAGAAACUUAAAGUGUGUUAGGACUUCAAACAGGGAAAAAAUGGCUUCUUCUGAGUCUUUUCUUAGUUUUACAAAGCUAUUCAUGACUAUGAAAAAAUUCCUGUGAUUGGAGCAUAAAUAAUGUUGCAGUAAUAACCUCAUAUAAGAUGGGAAUGGCUGAGGGGACAGAGAAACAACAUUUUUUUACUAAAGGAUUUCAUCAUUCAUUCCUCUCUGUUUUUCUGUCCUGCUUUGGGAAAGAUGUAACAUCUGCAGAGCUGAAGAGCACAGCCAACAACCAGUUGCUUCUUCCAGCUUGCACCUGCCCUGCCCUUGAGGUCAGACUUCUCUAUAAGAGAUUUAUCUCAGAACUCAUUCAAGAGGCCCAGAACUCUACUUCUCUCCUUCCCAUUCAUAUCCAUAGGAAGGUGAGCACCAUCUGCUUGUUUGAAGGCUGCUGCCCCCACCUGGCACGAAGAGGUGAAGGAUGUGGUACCUGCACAGGACAGGUCUUUCCUGACUGCUGAAUGUGAGAAACAUCACAGAGGGAGGAAGGGGAUGUGAGUUCCAGAGACAGCACUGUGAUUGCAGGGAGCAUGGGCAGAUAUACGUUUUGGUAGCAUGCAAUUUUUCCACCCUAAAAGAUUUUAUUUCCAUUUGGAUGGAGUAGUGACAUAGGCUGGCAGUAGAAGUAGGUUGUUGCAGAGGUUUAGGAAUGUUGGUUGAAUGAAGGCAGAAAAACAGCCUUUAUUACCCAGCUGGAGGGAUUUCAAGCAGGUUGAGGUACAUGGAGUACGCAAGAUGUUAUUCUGCAUUCUUUUCAAACUACUGAGAGCAUUUUCUCGAAAAGCAGGAAAUGAGCAGAGAAGUAGCUGCUCCUUUGGGUCCCAGUUCCCAUUCUGGGCUGCUGCUGGAGUGGUGUCCAUGUGCACUGCCUCUGGUUCCUCCUAUAGUGAUCCCAGUGGCUCAGUUUAGCCCUUCAUGGCUCACUUCAGCCAAUUCUGUCACCUGAUACAGAAAGAAUAAAUCAGCACUUCCAGGAACAGCAGCACCAUAGACAAAACACAACGGAAAUACAAUUCUUCUGGAGUGAGAAGCAUGAACAUAGCUCAGUAUGUCAUCUCUUGGUUUAGCCUACAGAAUCAGUGUGGUGAACACUACGGUUCUGAUUUCUUGAUGUAAUCUUUGCUAAGUGGCUCUGAACAGCCUGGUCUGGUGGUUGGCCACUCUGCACAUAGCAGGGAGGUUGAAACUGGAUGAUCAUUGUGGUCUUUUUCAGCCCAGGUCAUUCUAUGAUUCUUUGAUUCUAUGAAAGAUUUCAACGUUUAUGUCUGGAAAAAAUCCAGAUCUGUAUAAACUGGAGGACAUUAUUGUGUGUAUUAAAAUGUUCACAUGGUAUUAUCCCACAACCCUUCCCAUAUUUAUUUUGGAAAUCAUUACAUCUGGAAAAUGGGAAAACUUCCAGUUAAUUCUUUUACCUUGAAAUAUCAGCAAACACAAGGGGAUGUUGAGAUUAUUCCCUGCUAAAAAAGAAAAAAAGAACAAGUAGGACUCAGGACUAUAAGCCAAAAGAGAAUCCUUCUUCAAAUAAUGCAUCACGGCUUAAGCUUACCAUUGGGAAAACAAGGGUGAAAAGUGAUU